rnacentral:rRNA from 1 species
CCUACGAGAGGCAGCAGUGAGGAAUAUUGGUCAAUGGGCGUAAGCCUGAACCAGCCAAGUCGCGUGAGGGAUGAAGGUUCUAUGGAUUGUAAACCUCUUUUAUAAGGGAAUAACGUGUGGGACGUGUCCCGUUUUGUAUGUACCUUAUGAAUAAGGAUCGGCUAACUCCGUGCCAGCAGCCGCGGUAAUACGGAGGAUCCGAGCGUUGUCCGGAUUUAUUGGGUUUAAAGGGUGCGUAGGCGGGCUUUUAAGUAAGUGGUGAAAGUCUGUGGCUCAACCAUAGAAUUGCCGUUGAUACUGGGAGGCUUGAGUAUGUUUGAGGCAGGCGGAAUGCGUGGUGUAGCGGUGAAAUGCUUAGAUAUCACGCAGAACCCCGAUUGCGAAGGCAGCUUACCAAGCCAUGACUGACGCUGAUGCACGAAAGCGUGGGGAUCAAACAGGAUUAGAUACCCGGGUAGUC